UGAACGCUGGCGGCAUGCCUAACACAUGCAAGUCGAACGCGAAAGCACCUUCGGGUGUGAGUAGAGUGGCGGACGGGUGAGUAAUACUUGGGAAUCUGCCUAGUAGUGGGGGAUAACUCGGGGAAACUCGAGCUAAUACCGCAUACGCCCUACGGGGGAAAGAUUUAUCGCUAUUAGAUGAGCCCAAGUCAGAUUAGCUAGUUGGUAGGGUAAAGGCCUACCAAGGCAACGAUCUGUAGCUGGUCUGAGAGGACGAACAGCCACACUGGGACUGAGACACGGCCCAGACUCCUACGGGAGGCAGCAGUGGGGAAUAUUGGACAAUGGGCGAAAGCCUGAUCCAGCAAUGCCGCGUGUGUGAAGAAGGCCUGCGGGUUGUAAAGCACUUUCAGUUGGGAAGAUUAUGACGUUACCAACAGAAGAAGCACCGGCUAACUCA
rnacentral:rRNA from 1 species